rnacentral:rRNA from 1 species
CCCGCACAAGCAGUGGAGCAUGUGGUUUAAUUCGAUGCAACGCGAAGAACCUUACCUGGUCUUGACAUCCCGGAGACCCUUAGGAAACUAGGGGGUGCUUCCAUCUGGAGGAAUCUGGAGACAGGUGCUGCAUGGCUGUCGUCAGCUCGUGUCGUGAGAUGUUGGGUUAAGUCCCGCAACGAGCGCAACCCUUGCCUUUAGUUGCCAGCAGUUCGGCUGGGCACUCUAAAGGGACUGCCGGUGUUAAACCGGAGGAAGGUGGGGAUGACGUCAAGUCCUCAUGGCCUUUAUGACCAGGGCUACACACGUACUACAAUGGCCGAUACAAAGGGCAGCGACACUGCGAGGUGAAGCCAAUCCCGUAAAAUCGGUCUCAGUCCGGAUUGGAGUCUGCAACUCGACUCCAUGAAGUUGGAAUCGCUAGUAAUCGUGGAUCAGCAUGCCACGGUGAAUACGUUCCCGGGCCUU